GAUGAACGCUGGCAGCAUGCUUAACACAUGCGAGUCGAACGGGAAGUGGCGCUUGUUCCAUGGCAACCAUGGCGGACGGGUGAGUAACGCGUAAGGGACUUACCUGCAUGACUGGGAUAACAGGGGGAAACACCUGACAUGACCGGAGAAAGGCAUGGAUCUGCCUGGCUGUAUGAUGGAAGGAGACGGCUGUGGAGAGCCUUGUGUCCUAUUAGCGAGUUGGUGAGGUAGUGGCUCACCAAGGCGAAGAUAGGGAGCCGGCCUGAGAGGGUGGACGGCCACAAGGGCACAGAGAUGCGGCACUUACUCAUACGGGGGACAGGAGUGGAGAAUAUUGGACAAGGGGGGCGACCCUGAUCCAGCAAUUCUGUGUGCAAGAAGAAGGUUUUCGGAGUGUAAAGUGCUUUCAGCAGGGAAGAAGUAAGUGACGGUACCUGCAGAAGAAGCGACGGCUAAAUACGUG
rnacentral:rRNA from 1 species